rnacentral:rRNA from 1 species
UACGUAGGGGGCAAGCGUGGUCCGGAUUUAUUGGGUUUAAAGGGUGCGUAGGCGGCCUAUUAAGUCAGUUCUGAAAUAUCCCGGCUUAACCGGGAGGGUGGGAUUGAUACUGAUGGGCUUGAGUGGAAUCGAGGUAGGCGGAAUUGACGGUGUAGCGGUGAAAUGCUUAGAUAUCGUCAAGAACACCGAUAGUGUAGACAGCUUACUAGACUUCAACUGACGCUGAGGCACGAAAGUGUGGGGAUCAAACAGG